rnacentral:rRNA from 1 species
UACGGAGGUCUCAAGCGUUGUUCGGAUUCAUUGGGCGUAAAGGGUGCGUAGGCGGCGCGGUAAGUCGGGUGUGAAAUCUCGGAGCUUAACUCCGAAACUGCAUUCGAUACUGCCGUGCUUGAGGACUGGAGAGGAGACUGGAAUUUACGGUGUAGCGGUGAAAUGCGUAAAUAUCGUAAGGAAGACCAGUGGCGAAGGCGGGUCUCUGGACAGUUCCUGACGCUGAGGCACGAAGGUCAGGGGAGCAAACGGG